CUUCAUUCCUGAACAUAUACUAAAACUGGAACAAUACAGAGAAAAUCAGCAUGGCCCCUGUGUAAGGAUGACAUGCAAAUUGGUGGAGUUCGAAAAUUUUUG
rnacentral:snRNA from 1 species